UACAGAGAAGCCAAGCGUUGUCCGGAUUGACUGGGCGUAAAGCGCACGCAGGCGGACGCGCGCGUGGGGUGUGAAAUCUGGCCGCUUAACGGCCAGGCGCCAUCCCAUACGGCGCGUCUGGAGUGAUGCAGAGGUCGAUGGAAUUGCCGGUGUAGUGGUGAAAUGCGUAGAGAUCGGCAGGAACACCCAGGGGGAAACCAGUCGACUGGGCAUCUACUGACGCUGAGGUGCGAGAGCGUGGGGAGCGAACCGG
rnacentral:rRNA from 1 species